rnacentral:miRNA from 1 species
UAUACAUACACACAUACAUGUG